UGCGGCGCAGAGGAGCGGAGUCCUCGCCAGAGUCAUGAUCUGGAGACCGCGGGUUCGAGUCCCGCCGCCGCCA
rnacentral:tRNA from 1 species